AAUUCUUUCCAGAAGAUUUUCAAAUUACUUUGCCCACAUCCAUCAAAGAAAUCACUAUGUGUGGCAGUUAUAGCCUUACAAAAUGUAGUUCUUUAGUAAAACUUGAAAGUCAAAAUUACUUCUUGAUCCAUGGGCUGUAAUACAGAUACUGUGUUAGUAGGCGUGAAAACAACAUAAAUCACCUUGUAUAUCCAUCAGAGCUCCUGGAUGACCAGGUGCAUUGUCAGUGAGCAGUACUGAAUUUGAAAUAAUCUUUUAUUGUGAACAGUAGAUCUCAACAGUGGGCUGAAAAUCUCAGUAAACUGUGUUGUAAGCAGGUGUGCUGUCAUCCAGGCUUUAAUUUUCUAUUUAUAGUGCAUAAUCAUAGUAGUGAGUGAAUGAAGUUGCUCAAUCGUGUCUGACUCUUUGCAACUCCAUGGACUGCAGCCUACCAGGUUCCUCUGUCCAUGGGAUUUUCCAGGCAAGAAUACUGGAGUGGGUUGCCAUUUCCUUCUCCAGGGGAUCUUCCCAAACCAAGGAUCAAACCUGGGUCUCCCGAAUUGCAGGCAGACUCUUUACCAUCUGAGCCACCAGGGAAUCCCUAUAUGAGAGUAAAUAUUAUAACAAAAAUUAUAAAUGUCUCAAGGAAUAAAGCAAACAGGAAAGAGUUAUAUAAAAGUCUUAUUGAGGCUUCCCUGGUGGCUCAGUGGUAGAGAAUCUGCCAGUGCAGGAGACACAGGUUCCAUUCCCUGAUCUGGGAUGGUUCCACAUGCUGCAGAGCAACUGAGCUGGUGCACCGCAACUACAGAACCUGUGCUCCGGAGCCCAGGAGCUGCAGCUCCUGAGCCCACGUGCCACAACUGCUGAAGCCCGGGCACCUAGAGCUCGUGCUCCACAAGAGAAACCGCCACAAUGAGGACCGUCACCUGGCAGCUGGAGAGUGGCCCCCCCCCCAACAACUAGAGAAAAGCCCGUGCAGCAAAGAUGCAGCACAGCCAAAAGGAAAUUAAAAACUAUUUUUAAAAAAUAAGUCUUAUUAAAAAGAACAUAAAUCUAAACAAAUUCUUUAUUCUUGAAUGGGGAGACAGCAUCAUAAAAUUUCCCCAUAAUAACAUUUUAAUGUAAUACGAUUCUAAUUUGAAUUUCAACUGGUGAAGUAUUGAAAUUGACCUAAAUGAUCUUAAAGUUCAAGUGAAAGAAAUAACCUUAAUUGGUAGAGUUGAAUUGAAUCCACAAGUAGCUUCUAGUAUACAACGAGUUACUCUAUGACAAAAUUUUAUUUCAAUAAGAAUGUAACUUGGAAAAUGGUAACACAGCUAGCUGUCCGUUGGAAGAAAAUGAAAGUGCAACCUCUUUAUCACACAAAAAGCAAAUUCCAGAUAUAUUAAAUUUUAAAAAUUAAGUAUAAAGUAAAACAAAGCUAAGAGACUGGCAGUAUAGUCUGGAGAUAAGGGAGAACUUCUUAGCAAAUUUAAGAAACUCAAAAGCUACUUUAAAUGAAAAUAUUUCAUACAUUUAAAUUAAUGAAAUUAAUUUAUAAAUUUAAAAUUUGGCAAAAUAUAUUACAAAGUCAAUUGAUU
ensembl:lncRNA